GGAUGAACGCUGGCGGCGUGCCUAAUACAUGCAAGUCGAGCGAACAGACGAGGAGCUUGCUCCUCUGACGUUAGCGGCGGACGGGUGAGUAACACGUGGAUAACCUACCUAUAAGACUGGGAUAACUUCGGGAAACCGGAGCUAAUACCGGAUAAUAUAUUGAACCGCAUGGUUCAAUAGUGAAAGACGGUUUUGCUGUCACUUAUAGAUGGAUCCGCGCCGCAUUAGCUAGUUGGUAAGGUAACGGCUUACCAAGGCAACGAUGCGUAGCCGACCUGAGAGGGUGAUCGGCCACACUGGAACUGAGACACGGUCCAGACUCCUACGGGAGGCAGCAGUAGGGAAUCUUCCGCAAUGGGCGAAAGCCUGACGGAGCAACGCCGCGUGAGUGAUGAAGGUCUUCGGAUCGUAAAACUCUGUUAUUAGGGAAGAACAAAUGUGUAAGUAACUAUGCACGUCUUGACGGUACCUAAUCAGAAAGCCACGGCUAACUACGUGCCAGCAGCCGCGGUAAUACGUAGGUGGCAAGCGUUAUCCGGAAUUAUUGGGCGUAAAGCGCGCGUAGGCGGUUUUUUAAGUCUGAUGUGAAAGCCCACGGCUCAACCGUGGAGGGUCAUUGGAAACUGGAAAACUUGAGUGCAGAAGAGGAAAGUGGAAUUCCAUGUGUAGCGGUGAAAUGCGCAGAGAUAUGGAGGAACACCAGUGGCGAAGGCGACUUUCUGGUCUGUAACUGACGCUGAUGUGCGAAAGCGUGGGGAUCAAACAGGAUUAGAUACCCUGGUAGUCCACGCCGUAAACGAUGAGUGCUAAGUGUUAGGGGGUUUCCGCCCCUUAGUGCUGCAGCUAACGCAUUAAGCACUCCGCCUGGGGAGUACGACCGCAAGGUUGAAACUCAAAGGAAUUGACGGGGACCCGCACAAGCGGUGGAGCAUGUGGUUUAAUUCGAAGCAACGCGAAGAACCUUACCAAAUCUUGACAUCCUCUGACCCCUCUAGAGAUAGAGUUUUCCCCUUCGGGGGACAGAGUGACAGGUGGUGCAUGGUUGUCGUCAGCUCGUGUCGUGAGAUGUUGGGUUAAGUCCCGCAACGAGCGCAACCCUUAAGCUUAGUUGCCAUCAUUAAGUUGGGCACUCUAAGUUGACUGCCGGUGACAAACCGGAGGAAGGUGGGGAUGACGUCAAAUCAUCAUGCCCCUUAUGAUUUGGGCUACACACGUGCUACAAUGGACAAUACAAAGGGCAGCGAAACCGCGAGGUCAAGCAAAUCCCAUAAAGUUGUUCUCAGUUCGGAUUGUAGUCUGCAACUCGAC
rnacentral:rRNA from 1 species